ensembl:lncRNA
CCUCCCUCCCCGAGAGUCCACCAGCCCCCCAGAGUCUGGGAGGGCUCCUUUCGAUGCCCUGCAGAUGAUGAAGAGAGGAAAGGAGCAGGAAACUUUUCUGGCCAGGCCCGGAGAUGCUGCACAACAUUUCUGUCCACCGUGUUCUGUUGGGUGUAUGUGAGCCUACCUGCAAGGGAGGCUGGGCAACGUGGCCUAGAUGGGCCCCCAGGAGGAAGAAGGAACAGAUGUAGUGAGCAUCUGCCCGGAAUCUGCGGCAACCCUCAUCAGUAGAUUGUUUAGCUCUGAAACAGACCAAGGGGGAGGAAAAGGCGGUAUUGUCACCAACAGUUGGAGGCUCCCAGGAAAUUAUACAGGAUGACACCAAGCUGAAGGGGACCCCUGGGUCAGAGCCUGCUUGCUGGCCCGAGUUUGCCCAGAUCCUUUCUGACCCUAGGGUGGACAGAGACACAGUGCCUUGGAGAAUGAUGGAAGCUCUUGGACCUUCAUCACAAAACACACAGACAUGCCAUCUUAUGGGUGUAAUGUUGAGCAGCUCACAGGCUCCCUGGAGGCCAGGUAUACAGGAGAGAUGAACCCUGUCUAAGGGCACGUCAGGGGACAGGAGUCACUUGAAGGGCUCCUGUCCAUCAGGGAAGGCUGGGGAGUUGGAGGAUUAUGGUGUGUGUAAUGCCAGUGAUGGAUUAUAAUCCAGUCCUCAAAAUGUGAGUCCGUGAGUCCAUGCUGAUAAUGAAUAUGUAUUAAUAGACAAGCAGAUAGAUAAACAACAGAUAAGAGAAAGCUCUUUGCAGUGGAAUGUCAACUAACAAAUGUUGAUGGAUUUAGGCUAAGAAAAAUUGCAGCUUUGCAACCACAGCGUGAAUAAUAUAGAUGGCACACAGGUAAAGAGUCUGCCUGCCAAUGCAGGAGACACAGGGGACCUGGGUUCAACCCCUGAGUUGGGAAGGUCCCCUGGAAGAGGAAAC